UAAGGAAUAUUGGUCAAUGGACGCAAGUCUGAACCAGCCAUGCCGCGUGGAGGAUGAAGGUCCUCUGGAUUGUAAACUUCUUUUAUUUGGGAAGAAACUCCCGAUUUCCAUCGGGAUUGACGGUACCAGAUGAAUAAGCACCGGCUAACUCCGUGCCAGCAGCCGCGGUAAUACGAAGGAUGCAAGCGUUAUCCGGAAUUAUUGGGUUUAAAGGGUGCGUAGGCGGACUGAUAAGUCAGUGGUGAAAGCCUGCAGCUUAACUGCAGAAUUGCCGUUGAUACUGUCAGUCUUGAGUACAGUUGAGGUAGGCGGAAUGUGUCAUGUAGCGGUGAAAUGCUUAGAUAUGACACAGAACACCGAUUGCGAAGGCAGCUUGCUAAGCUGUAACUGACGCUGAGGCACGAAAGCGUGGGGAGCAAACAGGAUUAGAUACCCAAGUAGUCCCUGAGCGGGCUGGCAAGGCGCAU
rnacentral:rRNA from 1 species